rnacentral:rRNA from 1 species
UACGGGGGGGGCAAGCGUUGUUCGGAAUUACUGGGCGUAAAGGGCUCAUAGGCGGCCAACUAAGUCGGAUGUGAAAUCCCCAGGCUUAACCUGGGAACUGCAUCCGAUACUGGAUGGCUUGAAUCCGGGAGAGGGAUGCAGAAUUCCAGGUGUAGCGGUGAAAUGCGUAGAUAUCUGGAGGAAUACCGGUGGCGAAGGCGGCAUCCUGGACCGGCAUUGACGCUGAUGAGCGAAAGCUAGGGGAGCAAACGGG